rnacentral:rRNA from 1 species
AGAGUUUGAUCAUGGCUCAGGACGAACGCUGGCGGCGUGGAUUAGGCAUGCAAGUCGAACGGUAGAUAUUCCUUCGGGGAUAUUGAGAGUGGCGAACGGGUGAGUAACACGUAGGUGAUCUACCCUCAAAUCGGGGACAACCCAGGGAAACUUGGGCUAAUACCGGAUGAGUGCAGUAUAAAGGUACUGCAUAAAAGGUGGCUUUAGGGCUGUCGUUUGGGGAUGAGCUUGCGUUCUAUUAGUUAGUUGGUGGGGUAAUGGCCUACCAAGGCGAUGAUAGAUAGGCGGCCUUAACGGGUGGUCGCCCACACUGGGAUUGAGAUACGGCCCAGACUCCUACGGGAGGCAGCAGUCGAGAAUAGUCUACAAUGGACGAAAGUCUGAUAGUGCGACGCCGCGUGAACGAAGAAUCCCUUCGGGGUGUAAAGUUCUUUUAUAUGUGAGCAAUGGUUUAUAUGUGAAUAGCAUAUAGGCAGAGAUAUUAGCAUAUGAAUAAGCAACGGCUAACUCCGUGCCAGCAGCCGCGGUAACACGGGGGUUGCAAGCGUUGUCCGGAAUUACUAGGCGUAAAGUGCAGGUAGGCGGAUUUAUAAGUUUGAUGUUAAAGGCAGCGGCUCACCCGCUGUAGGGCGUCAGAUACUGUAGAUCUGGAAUGCGGUUGGGGAAGACAGAAUUCCUGGUGUAGCGGUGGAAUGCGCAGAGAUCAGGAGGAAUACCGAAGGCGAAGGCAGUCUUCUAAGCCGUAAUUGACGCUAAACUGCGAAAGGUGUGGGUAUCAAACAGGAUUAGAUACCCUGGUAGUCCACACAGUAAACGAUAAUCACUAGGUGUUGGGUUCGAAGAGGAUUCGGUGCCGUAGCAAACGCGAUAAGUGAUUCGCCUGGGGAGUACGAUCGCAAGGUUGAAACUCAAAGGAAUUGACG